CCCUGAUCUGGCAACAUCCUCCGUUUUUCAGGUUUUAUUGCACAUCCUGGAAGGCUCACCACUCUCAGAUAGAGCAACUCAGAGACACACACUGGACAAAUAACCAGGAACCAACACACCCGGACCUGAGGCCCUUUUUUACAGCUAUGUUGACAACAACGUCAAUCUGAAGAAGUAAUGCGGGUCGUAAAGAGACAGACAUUAGCGUUUGACGACUUGGUGGUGAAAAGUGUCUGAUGGCAGCCCUGAUGUUCCUCGUUUACACCAAACCGGGGGAUUCUGCAUGUCAUAACACAAGACGCUCAGUGUUUCCCAGAGACUCUGGAGGAACGGGACUGCAUCAAAGUCUGACCUAGCUGCAGAGCGUGGAUCAGAAGGAUGUUGAAUUUAUUGUUAUCACCCACUCUGCGCUUCCUUUCUCCACUUCCUUUUUCCUCCCGAACCAGCAGCGCCGUGGAGCAAAAGCCUUCGUUUAUAAGUGUGUGUGUGUGUGUGUGUGUGUUGUUUAUGUCACACAUCAAAUUAUUGCCUUUUACUGACCUGAUUUUUUUAAAGCUAAACUAGAAUAUCAAAGCUAUGUUGGUUUAUUCUGAAUUCAGAUUGCUCAACACAAUGGCCGUAAUGGCUCUUUAAACUUGUGCAUGAUGUGUGUGUGUGUGUGUGCACACGCGCGGGCGUGUGUUUGUGUUUAUUUUUUAAACCCAGAAAAAGGCCACUAAUUCCAUUCCAUCUUUAGCUCCAUUGUGGGUGAAAACCCAUUAUCUGUCCCAGC